GACGAACGCUGGCGGCAUGCCUAAUACAUGCAAGUUGAACGAUGAUAUUCUCUGCUUGCAGAGAAUUGAAGAGUAGCGAACGGGUGAGUAACACGUGGGGAACCUGCCCAUGAGAGGGGGAUAACAUUCGGAAACGGAUGCUAAUACCGCAUAAUGCUUUGGACCGCCUGGUCCAGAGACGAAAGACGGCUUUUGCUGUUACUUAUGGAUGGCCCCGCGCCGUAUUAGCUAGUUGGUGAGGAAAUGGCUCACCAAAGCUGGGAUACGUAGCCGACCUAAGAGGGUUGUCGGCCACACUGGGACUUGGACGCGGCCCAGACUCCUACGGGACGCAGCAGUAGGCACUCUUCCACAGUGGGCGAAAACCUGAUGGAGCAAUGCCACGUGAAUGAAGAAGAUCUUCGGAUCGUAAAGUUCUGUUAUUAGUGAAGAACAAGUCAAGGAGUAGCUGUCUUGACUUUGACGGUACCUAACCCGAAAGUCACGGCUCACUACGUG
rnacentral:rRNA from 1 species